rnacentral:rRNA from 1 species
CAUGGCUCAGGAUGAACGCUAGCGACAGGCUUAACACAUGCAAGUCGAGGGGCAGCACGGGAGUAGCAAUACAACUGGUGGCGACCGGCGCACGGGUGAGUAACGCGUAUGCAACCUACCUAUCAGAGGGGAAUAACCCGGCGAAAGUCGGACUAAUACCGCAUAAAACAGGGGCACCGCAUGGUGAUAUUUGUUAAAGAAAUUCGCUGAUAGAUGGGCAUGCGUUCCAUUAGGUAGUUGGUGAGGUAACGGCUCACCAAGCCGACGAUGGAUAGGGGAACUGAGAGGUUGGUCCCCCACACUGGUACUGAGACACGGACCAGACUCCUACGGGAGGCAGCAGUGAGGAAUAUUGGUCAAUGGGCGGGAGCCUGAACCAGCCAAGUCCGCGUGAAGGAAGAAGGAUCUAUGGUUCGUAAACUUCUUUUGCAGGGGAAUAAAGUGCGGGACGUGUCCUGUUUUGUAUGUACCCUGAGAAUAAGGAUCGGCUAACUCCGUGCCAGCCGCCGC